ACUCUUGAAAUGGAGCAAGUCUGAGGAGCAACGCCGCGUGAGUGAAGAAGGUUUUCGGAUCGUAAAGCUCUGUUGUUGGUGAAGAAGGAUAGAGGUAGUAACUGGCCUUUAUUUGACGGUAAUCAACCAGAAAGUCACGGCUAACUACGUGCCAGCAGCCGCGGUAAUACA
rnacentral:rRNA from 1 species